UAGGGAAUCUUCCGCAAUGGGCGAAAGCCUGACGGAGCAACGCCGCGUGAGUGAUGAAGGUCUUCGGAUCGUAAAACUCUGUUAUUAGGGAAGAACAAAUGUGUAAGUAACUAUGCACGUCUUGACGGUACCUAAUCAGAAAGCCACGGCUAACUACGUGCCAGCAGCCGCGGUAAUACGUAGGUGGCAAGCGUUAUCCGGAAUUAUUGGGCGUAAAGCGCGCGUAGGCGGUUUUUUAAGUCUGAUGUGAAAGCCCACGGCUCAACCGUGGAGGGUCAUUGGAAACUGGAAAACUUGAGUGCAGAAGAGGAAAGUGGAAUUCCAUGUGUAGCGGUGAAAUGCGCAGAGAUAUGGAGGAACACCAGUGGCGAAGGCGACUCUCUGGUCUGUAACUGACGCUGAGGUUCGAAAGCGUGGGUAGCAAACAGG
rnacentral:rRNA from 1 species